rnacentral:rRNA from 1 species
AUUGAACGCUGGCGGCCGGCCUAACACAUGCAAGUCGAACGAGUGGCGGACGGGUGCGUACUGUCUGGGAAACUGCCUGAUGGAGGGGGAUCACUACUGGAAACGGUAGCUAAUACCGCAUACCAUCGGAUGUGCCCAGAUGGGAUUAGCUCGUAGGUGGGGUCACGGCGCACCUAGGCGACGAUCCCUAACGGGUCUGAGAGGCGGACCAGCCACACUGGAACGGAGACACGGUCCAUACUCCUACGGGAGGCAGAAGUGGGGAACAUGGCACAAUGGGCGCAAGCCUAAUGCAGCCAUGCCGCGUGUAGGAAGAAGUCCUUCGGGUUGUAAAGUACUUUCAGCGGGGAGGCGUUACCCGCAGAAGAAGCACCGGCUAACUCCGUGCCAGCAGCCGCGGUAAUAC